CAGAAACAACUCUCCAAGUUCCAUUUCCAAGGAAAGUCUUAACCAUUUGUCCCUUCUGGCGUACCCUCUUUCAUUGAAAUCCAUGCAGAAUAUACCAGAGAUGGGCAGUAGCGAACCCCUUCCCAUCGCAGAUGGUGUCAGGAGGAGGAAGAAGAAGCGGAGGGCCCGGGCCACUGACUCCUUGCCAGGAAAAUUUGAAGAUAUGUACAAGCUGACCUCUGAAUUGCUUGGAGAGGGAGCCUAUGCCAAAGUUCAAGGUGCCGUGAGCCUACAGAAUGGCAAAGAGUAUGCCGUCAAAAUCAUCGAGAAACAAGCAGGGCACAGUCGGAGUAGGGUGUUUCGAGAGGUGGAGACACUGUAUCAGUGUCAGGGAAACAAGUUCCAUCUUAGCCCACAUCCAGAAGCAAAAGCACUUCAAUGAGCGAGAAGCCAGCCGAGUGGUGCGGGACGUUGCUGCUGCCCUUGACUUCCUGCAUACCAAAGGCAUUGCUCAUCGUGAUCUGAAACCAGAAAAUAUAUUGUGUGAAUCUCCAGAAAAGGUGUCUCCAGUGAAAAUCUGUGACUUUGACUUGGGCAGUGGGAUGAAACUGAACAACUCCUGUACCCCCAUAACCACACCAGAGCUGACCACCCCAUGUGGCUCUGCAGAAUACAUGGCCCCUGAGGUAGUGGAGGUCUUCACGGACCAGGCCACAUUCUACGACAAGCGCUGUGACCUGUGGAGCCUGGGCGUGGUCCUCUACAUCAUGCUGAGUGGCUACCCGCCCUUCGUGGGUCACUGCGGGGCUGACUGUGGCUGGGACCGGGGCGAGGUCUGCAGGGUGUGCCAGAACAAGCUGUUUGAAAGCAUCCAGGAAGGCAAGUAUGAGUUUCCUGACAAGGACUGGGCACACAUCUCCAGUGAGGCCAAAGACCUCAUCUCCAAGCUCCUGGUGCGAGAUGCAAAGCAGAGACUUAGCGCCGCCCAAGUUCUGCAGCACCCAUGGGUGCAGGGGCAAGCUCCAGAAAAGGGACUCCCCACGCCGCAAGUCCUCCAGAGGAACAGCAGCACAAUGGACCUGACACUCUUCGCAGCUGAGGCCAUCGCCCUUAACCGCCAGCUAUCUCAGCACGAAGAGAACGAACUAGCAGAGGAGCCAGAGGCACUAGCUGAUGGCCUCUGCUCCAUGAAGCUUUCCCCUCCCUGCAAGUCACGCCUGGCCCGGAGACGGGCCCUGGCCCAGGCAGGCCGUGGUGAAGACAGGAGCCCGCCCACAGCACUCUGAAAUGCUUGUCACACCUUAUAGGCCCUAGGCCUGGCCAGGCAUUGUCCUCUGGAAACCUGUGUGGCUAAAGUCUGCUGAGCAGGCAGCAGCCUCUGCUCUGUGGCUCCAUUCAGGCUUUUUCAUCUACGAAGGCCCUGAAGUUCCCAUCAACCCCCAUUUCCCUAGGGUCCUGGAGGAAAAAGCUUUUUCCAAAGGGGUUGUCUUUGAAAAGGAAAGCAAUCACUUCUCACUUUGCAUAAUUGCCUGCAGCAGGAACAUCUCUUCGCUGGGCUCCACCUGCUCACCCGCCUGCAGAUCUGGGAUCCGGCCUGCUCUCACCGCUGUAGCUGUGGCGGCUGGGAUUGCAGCCUGCAGGGAGAAGCAAGAAGCAUCAGUUGACAGAGGCUGCCGACACGUGCCUCUUCCCUCUCUGCUCUGUCACCCUCCUCUGGCGGUCCUUCCACCUUCCUCUGUCCUCCGGAUGUCCUCUUUGCCCGUCUUCUCCCUUGGCUGAGCGAAGCCAUCCCCUCAAUUCAGGGAAGGGCAAGGAGCCUUCCUCAUUCAGGAAAUCAAAUCAGUCUUCCGGUCUGCAGCACGGAAAAGCACAUAAUCUUUCUUUGCUGUGACCGAAAUGUAUCCCUCGUUUAUCAUCCCCUUUGUUUGUGAUUGCUGCUAAAGUCAGUAGUAUCGUUUUUUUAAAAAAAAAGUUUGGUGUUUUUAACCAUGCUGUUCCAGCAAAGAUGAUACCUUAAACUUCCACUGCAAGCCCAUGAACUUCCCAGAGUGGAACGGCUUGCUCUCCUUUCUGGAAUGUCCAUGCACUUGUGUUUUAAUCAGCAGUUCUCUAUUAUUCUGAUUUUAAGCUGUUCCUGUGAUGAACUUAGAGACAGCAUCGGUGUCUGCUGCUGUGUCCCCAGGUCUUGUGUGGGUGGCACAGAUCUGGGCAGUUAGAUAGAGCUCUGUGCCUAAGGUGAAGCCACACUAGGGUGAAGCCUCACUUCCCUGUUUGAGCAAUGCAGUGCCUGCUGCCCGUGUGCAUGAAGGUACAGCCAUUCAGAUAAGUGGAACUAUUGAGUUACAUAAAGAAAAUAGAUUUGCAUUUGUCAGGCAGACGUUUAUACAACACCACGGUGCUUUUAUACAUUGUGCUUAUUUUAAUAAAACUGAAAUGCUA
rnacentral:sRNA from 1 species